rnacentral:lncRNA from 1 species
CUGAGCCCCAGCUGAGCAGAGGUUGGCUGCUCUUGUGCCUAAGGCAUGGGCUGGAACUCACAAGAUCUGGCUUUAGUUCCCAGUUUUGCCGCUGACUCCAUGUGUGACCUUUAAAGAGUCACUUCAUUUCUCUGUGCCUCAGUUUCACUAUCUGUGAAAUGGGUAACAUUGCUUGUCUAUUUGUAUUGUAACCAUCUCUCGCUCUGUGUCCUUGCAGUGCCAGAGCAAGGGUACCCAAUCUCAGUUCAGGUUUGUGCAGCACCUGGCACAAAGGGGCCCUAAUCUCAGGUGGGGCUGGUAGGCAGCACUGUAAUAUAAAUAAGUAAUAGCUAUAAGAGAAAUCUAUUUGCAUCCUGGAAAACAACAGCGCUUGCUCCAUAAAUUUCACACACUCCUGGAUGAAUGGUCGUUAUCCAGUGCUCCUCGGGGUGGAGCAUGUGGGUGUGGCACCAUGUGUUGUUAUUUCAAAUGGAAACUCCCCAUUCUCUCAUCUUCCUUUUAGAGUUAAAGAUGUCCAAAGAAUUCAACGUGUUUAACAGUCGACUUCUUAAUGUUUCCCAGGGUCUUGCUGAAGCCCAGCUGGAUCGAGAUGCUAUCAGAAGAGAUGCCCAGAGAAAUCUGUCACUUCACCAGGACUAUCUAGGUGAGAGGAUAAAGGAAAUGUUUCUAUUCCUUGUGGGUCUUCAAGGAUCUUUUCUGGUCCUUACACCUCAAGGGAGGAGAGAGUGGGGCCCAUGGGGUCAGGUGCAGGGCUGGUGAAGUUGAUGUAGCUCCUUGGACUUCAGUGGAGCUGAGCAGACAUACAUCAGUUGGGGAUCUGACCAUCACUAAAACAGGACUGUAGAUUAUUGUGGGGUGUGGGAGAAACAUAGGAGGUGGAAGCAGCUCUUAAAAGUUGUUGGAU